GGAAGUCACCUGAUAACAACUACCACUGACGGGGCUCUAGAGGCUGUGGCCCCACAGCCUCUAGAGCCCCAUAAAACACCCAAAAAGAAGAAGUCGUGUGCAGUGGGCGUGUCUUGAGAGGCGAGGCGGAGGAAAGUGUAGUCUGGCAUGUCUUGCUGACGGUCUUGGGGACAGUCCAGCGGUGAAGCCGAGUGCGUCCCGAUGCAGCGUGGUGGCAGCCUCCUGCUGUGCGCCGGGCUGUAAGGGCAGGAACACUGUGGACUGCAAGCUCACCCUCCACAUGUGUCAGGUUCCUGCACAGGUGAACGGAGGUGGAGUCACGGCUUUGGGGCGGCUUGCUAAAAAGGUCAGACGAGCCACAAUGGGCGCAGGUCACAACAGGUCACCACAUGCAGGUCGGAGGUCACACAGCCAGCGUCCACAACCUGACCCCUAAGAGUGGAUACCAGCUGUCUGGAGUGGAUACAGAAGUGGAUUCCUUACAGCAUCGGAACUCCCGUCAAGAUCUCGGUCACCCUCGGAGUCUCGUCACUGGAAACUUCCCGAGGAGCUGCGUCGGCGCCUCACACUCCACCUCCAAGCUGACCCAGGACUGUCCCGAGCUGAGCUGCACGACAUAACCUAUGCUAGGAUCGAACCCGCCCGCAACCUCAAGAUCAACAAUUCCAUCGAUUGCAAGGCCAGUCCUCCCAUUGAUGGUGAGAGCCCCUGCCCCCUCUCCCUGGGCCCCCACACCAGUGCCACGCUGCCCAGGCCCCCUAAGACCUGGCGGCCGUCAAGUUUUCCCUCCUGAGCUGCCGGUGUUGGUGGUGCCCAGGCUGGAACACUCCCCGCCCAGGGCUACGCCAACCUGAGGAGGCACAGCAAGACUUCUCCUGGCUUAUAAGAGGGACCAUUAAGAAACAUGAUCCCCGCUGCUGCCACCACCACCGGGUAACAUGUGCCGGCGACGAUCUGUUCACACGUCACUUGCCGCAGCGUUGAGGCGGGAUGCAGCGUGCUCUGAGGCCACCCCGGGCAGGAGGCAAGAUGUGACCUCCUGCACCAAACCUUUGACCUCUAUUCAGGAGCAAUCUCACAACUGAUGGAAGCUGGGACGGAAAGUUGCUGAAAUGUGGGCAAUGGCUGACUGGAUGGUGCUGUCUGGUCACUCAGCUCAGCAAGGGACUGGAAGCUGGAACACUCUCUCUCUCUCUCAAAAAAAUAAUGUAAAGGACUCGUCUCAGCUGGUCUCAUCUGGUCUGCCCCAGCAUUUAGGCAGCAUCUUGAAGGCCUGACUGGUCUCCUCAGCUCAGUGGUCUCGUCUCUGUCUCCUGCCCUGCAAGAGUCUGGCAGAGUUUAGUGCCAAGAGUGUGUGUGUGUGUGUGUGUGUGUGUGUGUGUGUGUGUGUGUGUGUGUGUGUGUGUG